rnacentral:rRNA from 1 species
AGAGGUAGCCGGCUGCUUAUACAUGCAGUCGAACGGAGGUAUGUAGCAAUACGUAUCUUAGUGGCGAACGGGUGAGUAACACGUUGGUGACCUACCCCAGAGAGGGGGAUAACAGCUCGAAAGGGCUGCUAAUACCCCAUGUCGUCAUGGUUCCUAGAAAGCCAUGUCGAAAGGUGCAAACCGCUCUGGGAGGGGCCUGCGUCCCAUCAGCUUGUUGGUAGGGUAAUGGCCUACCAAGGCGACGACGGGUAGGGGACCUGAGAGGGUGACCCCCCACACUGGCACUGAAACACGGGCCAGACACCUACGGGUGGCAGCAGUAGGGAAUAUUGCACAAUGGGCGAAAGCCUGAUGCAGCAACGCCGCGUGCGCGAUGAAGGCCUUCGGGUCGUAAAGCGCUUUUCGGGGAGAUGAGGAAGGACAGUAUCCUCGGAAUAAGGAUCGGCUAACUACGUGCCAGCAGCCGCGGUAAAACGUAGGAUCCGAGCGUUAUCCGAAUUCACUGGGCGUAAAGCGCGUGCAGGCGGUUCGGUAAGUUGGAUGUGAAAUCUCCUGGCUCAACUGGGAGAGGACGUUCAAUACUGUCGGACUCGAGGACGGUAGAGGGAGGUGGAAUUCCCGGUGUAGUGGUGAAAUGCGUAGAUAUCGGGAGGAACACCAGUGGCGAAGGCGGCCUCCUGGACCGUUCCUGACGCUCAGACGCGAAAGCUAGGGGAGCAAACGGGAUUAGAAACCCCGGUAGUCCUAGCCGUAAACUAUGUAGACUUGGUGUCGGUGGUGUAAAAACCAGCGGUGCCGGAGCUAACGCGUUAAGUCUACCGCCUGGGGACUACGGCCGCAAGGUUAAAACUCAAAGGAAUUGACGG